AGUCGAGGGGCAGCAUUUUAGUUUGCUUGCAACUAAAGAUGGCGACCGGCGCACGGGUGAGUAACACGUAUCCAACCUGCCGAUAACUCGGGGAUAGCCUUUCGAAAGAAAGAUUAAUAUCCGAUGGUAUAUUAAAACCGCAUGGUUUUACUAUUAAAGAAUUUCGGUUAUCGAUGGGGAUGCGUUCCAUUAGUUUGUUGGCGGGGUAACGGCCCACCAAGACUACGAUGGAUAGGGGUUCUGAGAGGAAGGUCCCCCACAUUGGAACUGAGACACGGUCCAAACUCCUACGGGAGGCAGCAGUGAGGAAUAUUGGUCAAUGGACGAGAGUCUGAACCAGCCAAGUAGCGUGAAGGAUGACUGCCCUAUGGGUUGUAAACUUCUUUUAUAUGGGAAUAAAGUAUUCCACGUGUGGGAUUUUGUAUGUACCAUAUGAAUAAGGAUCGGCUAACUCCGUGCCAGCAGCCGCGGUAAUACGGAGGAUCCGAGCGUUAUCCGGAUUUAUUGGGUUUAAAGGGAGCGUAGGUGGAUUGUUAAGUCAGUUGUGAAAGUUUGCGGCUCAACCGUAAAAUUGCAGUUGAAACUGGCAGUCUUGAGUACAGUAGAGGUGGGCGGAAUUCGUGGUGUAGCGGUGAAAUGCUUAGAUAUCACGAAGAACUCCGAUUGCGAAGGCAGCUCACUAGACUGCAACUGACACUGAUGCUCGAAAGUGUGGGUAUCAAACAGGAUUAGAUACCCUGGUAGUCCACACAGUAAACGAUGAAUACUCGCUGUUUGCGAUAUACAGUAAGCGGCCAAGCGAAAGCAUUAAGUAUUCCACCUGGGGAGUACGCCG
rnacentral:rRNA from 1 species